rnacentral:rRNA from 1 species
UCAACCUGGUUGAUCCUGCCAGUAGUCAUAUGCUUGUGUUAAAGAUUAAGCCAUGCAUGCCUAAGUUCAACAAACUUAAAGGUGAAACUGCGGACGGCUCCAUAGAUCAGUAAUAGUUCGUUUGGCAACUGAAAACCAGUACAUGGAUAACCCUGUUAAUUGUAGAGCUAAUACAUGCACAAGAGACCUGAUUG